rnacentral:rRNA from 1 species
GUGUCAGCCGCCGCGGUAAGACGGAGGGGGCUAGCGUUGUUCGGAAUUACUGGGCGUAAAGCGCGCGUAGGCGGCUUGCCAAGUUGGGGGUGAAAGCCCGGGGCUCAACUCCGGAAUUGCCUUCAAAACUAGCAGGCUAGAGUCCGGGAGAGGAGAGUGGAAUACCCAGUGUAGAGGUGAAAUUCGUAGAUAUUGGGUGGAACACCGGUGGCGAAGGCGACUCUCUGGUCCGGAACUGACGCUGAGGCGCGAAAGCGUGGGGAGCAAACAGGAUUAGAUACCCUGGUAGUCCACGCCGUAAACGAUGAGUGCCAGAUGUUGGGGGGAUUUUUCCCUUCAGUGUCGCAGUUAACGCAUUAAGCACUCCGCCUGGGGAGUACGGCCGCAAGGUUAAAACUCAAAGGAAUUGACGGGG